GAGUAGAAUCACAAGCCUAGUCCCUAGCAAACGUGGACAGUGAGGAAAGACUGGAGAAAUGGGGGCUAUUCAUUCAUGAAAGGAGGCUCUGACAGGUGAUCUUAAAGAGAGCUUCACAAAAGUUAUUAGAGUUGACCUCAUCCGGGCAAAUCAGAAGUAUUCCAUCGCGCUCCUGACUUCGGUUUUGCAGACAGUGGACAAGAUUUGAAGUGUCAUGUGACAGAACUUCGUAGUCUUCUGCAGGUGGUUCUCCUAUAACAUGUGAUUACUAAAUGCGAAUUGGCUGUAACAGGAUUAGUGAAUUGCAGACAUUUUUAAAAAUAAAACUACCUCCUGUUCGCUGUUAUGCAAUUCCAUUUCUGACACUUACCUGAACAGCAAAACGCAGCCUCACGAUCUUCUGUCUGCAAAAUGCAACUUCAGUGUGUUCAGCUAAAACAGGAAUACAAUCAGCUCUGCAAGCCUUGAAACUGAGAAUUGUAGUCUACAUUUAGAAGGAACUUUAUUUCAAACCGGGAUGGGGGAGGGGGGAAUUUGAGGAGGACUGGACUUUUGCAUCAGCAUCACGUGAUCAGUCAGCAUGUGCACUUUCUGGUGAAGAGCUUUGUGAAAAGGUACAGU